rnacentral:rRNA from 1 species
GACGAAGGGGGCUAGCGUUGUUCGGAAUUACUGGGCGUAAAGCGCGCGUAGGCGGACCUGCAAGUCGGGGGUGAAAGCCCGAGGCUCAACCUCGGAACUGCCUUCGAUACUGCGGGUCUCGAGUCCGGGAGAGGUGAGUGGAAUUCCUAGUGUAGAGGUGAAAUUCGUAGAUAUUAGGAAGAACACCAGUGGCGAAGGCGGCUCACUGGCCCGGUACUGACGCUGAGGCGCGAAAGCGUGGGGAGCAAACAGG